rnacentral:lncRNA from 1 species
CCUCAUCAGAUAUUUCGUUAAAAUUCAUUCUGAAACACUAAAACUAAAUAAUUGAAUAUGGCUUUGCGGGUCGAUGAUGCCAGCAGCAAUGAGACUGCAAUUAUCACUUGUUUAGUUUCUGUGCUUGCCGUGGUUUACUUCGCAUGGAAUGUGAAAAAAUCAAGGAAAGCAAAUGCUAAACUUCCACCAGGACCUCGCGGCUUGCCUGUAGUCGGAUACCUCCCAUUUCUCGGAACUACUGACUUGCACAAGAAAUUCACGGAAUUAUCCGGAGUUUAUGGUCCGAUCUUCAAGCUCUGGCUCGGAAACAAAUUAUGUGUCGUGGCGAGCUCACCUUCCCUAGUUAAACAAGUGGUUCGAGAUCAAGAUACAACAUUCGCCAACCGUGACCCGCCGAUCGCUGUACUAGCGUUCACCUAUGGUGGCAAUGAUAUUGCAUGGUCCAAUUACGGUCCCGAAUGGAGAAAUUUGCGCAAAGCUUUUGUGGGCAAGAUGAUGAGUAACGCAAGCCUUGAUGCUUGUUAUGCUCUAAGAAAACAAGAGGUUAAAAAUACUAUCAGGGAUUUGUACAACAACGACAACAAAAUUGGUAAGCCCAUCGACAUUGGUGAAUUGUCAAUUUCAACCUUGGUAUGUGUUAUUCAGAACAUGCUGUGGGGUGAAGCGCUUGAAACAAGAGAGGAAGGGAUCACUAAUCUUGGGGCUGAGCUAAAAUUUAAGCUGGCAGAACUCAUGGUCCUAAUGGGAACACCGAAUAUUUCGGACGUCUUUCCAGUGCUUUCAUGGUUUGAUAUACAAGGUAUAGAGAGGAAAGCAAAGAAGAUUUCACUCUGGUUUGAAAAUAUUAUAAAUUCUACUGUUGAAAAGUAUAGAAGCAAGGACUUUAUUGUUGAAGGUAAAGAAAGAGCAGGGGAAAAUUUUGAAGGAUCAAGGAACAAGAACUUCUUGCAGUUACUAUUGGAGCUUCAAGAAAAUGAAGACGGUUCUUCCUCAAUUAGCAUGAACCAAUUUAAGGGCGUGCUCGCGGUAUGUUAAGCAACUAGCCACGAACAGUUAUACAAGCACAGUUGUAUAUUUGCAUGAGUGACGCUUCUCAACUUUUUUUAAUUUUUUAAAUUAAAGUUUUAUUGUAAUCUUUUGAACAGGAUAUAAUUACGGGUGGAACCGACACCACAACUACGAUGGUGGAAUGGACAAUGGCAGAGUUGAUGCAGCAUCCACAAGUAAUGAAGAAAGUUCAGGAAGAAUUAGCUCAAGUUGUGGGCAUGGACAGUUGUGUUGAAGAAUUUCAUUUGCCUAAACUGAAAUAUUUAGAUGCUGUGGUGAAAGAAUCGUUUCGUCUGCAUCCUGCAGUGCCUUUAUUAGUACCACGCAGAGCAAGCGAGAGUGGCAGCAUUGGUGGCUAUACCAUUCCCAAAGAUACAACUCUUAUGUUGAAUGUUUGGGCUAUCCACAGGGACCCUCAACUUUGGGAUAAUCCCUUAGAAUUUCGACCCGAGAGGUUUCUGAAUGUUGGUGUCGAGAGUAAGUUCGAUUACUCAGGUAACAAUUUUCAGUACUUACCUUUUGGUUCUGGUAGAAGAAUGUGUGCUGGGAUUCCUCUAGCUGAGAGGAUGCUGAUGUUUGUUUUGGCUUCGUUAUUGCACUCAUUUGAGUGGGAAUUGCCAGCUGGCACAAAGCUAAAUUUAUCUGAAAAAUUUGGGUUUGUCAUUAAGAAAAAAGAGCCUUUGGUUGCUAUUCCAACACCAAGACUAUCCAAUUCAGAGCUUUACCAUUAAAACAGAAUGAUUGUGAUGAUUUUGUUAGUAUCGGAAGAUUUGUAUGUUAUUUCAAGUUCAAUCGUAAUAAAAUAUUUUAAUAAAAGUCCUCCGUUGCUAAUUUUUUUUUUCAACGGCAUAAUCUGUCAUCAUGCUUGUGUUUGGAGCUACUUUGGAAUGAUUAUUUUUGAAUUACAAUUUAUAAAUAUUUAGGUUUUAAAUUUUUUAUAAGAGUCUAAAUUUAUACACGUUCAGUAAAAGAUUCCCUAAAAGCUUUACAAUUCAAAAUUCUAUUAAAAGUAUAGAUGAAACUUUUAUACCUACUAAUUUUUUGGUCUAUUCUACAAGUUUAAAGAGGAGAUAUUUCUAGAGCUAGCAAAAAGAGCUACCUGAUUGUUUUCGCGUUAUGUCAAUUUUUUUAUUGUGUUAAAUUUAAUUUGACCCACAUAUGACCCAUUUAAUAAUCGUGUCAAAAUAUUGAAACUUGAACUUGAUACGGAAAAUAAAUGGAUGACCACACACACCCAUUUAAGAAUUAGGUAACUAUGUCACUUAAUACGACAUAACCCAAUAACUCGUUUAAUACAUAUUUAACAUAAUUUACAUUGUACAUUGUACACCCUUUUGUCAUAAAUUACACUAUUUUAUAUUUCUAAAUAAUAUUAUAUAUUGAUAUUAUAAAAAAAUAUCAAUAAUCUCAAAAUUUGUACACCUCCUAACUUUUAAAAAGAAAUAAAAAAACUAAUUAAUUAAUGUUUAUUUUAUUCAUUAAUAUAUCAUAAUCCUACAUGUAUUUUAUUUGUUAUUUUUUUUAUUUAAAAAGAUAGGAGGGUGGAUGAAACUCAAAUAAAUUUUUAGCCUAUCCUGAUCUUUCAAGUUUCUUAUUUAGGAGGCCAGUUAAAAAAAAUUACUUAGAAAGCUACUCCAUCAAUUUAACAAAUUUUAUUUAUUUAAUUAAUGGAGGUGUAGAAAAUAAAAGUAUCUGCAAGCACAUUGCAAUAGUGAAAGCAAUGUACCGGUGUUGCAACAUAACUGAAUCUUGAUAACCUAUCACAUAUUUUAAGUUUUAAUAUUGGUAGUUCACGGAUCGGUUUCUACUUCCACGAACAAUUAUUGAAGGAAAUGAGUUUUUUUUUUAAUGAAUAUUUAUAGACCCCGAUUAAAUAUUCGAAUAUAUAAUAAAAGAGAAACUGACAUAGAAAUGAGAAAGAUAUUUGGAGGAGGCCAAAAAAAAAAAAAAAAAUGCAACAGAGAAUUAGAUCAGCAACACAAGUAACUAAUUAAUUCAUCUAUACAUCAUAAUCCUAUUUGUAUCUUCUUCCUUCUACUAAUUUACAUAUAAAUUUGGUUAGAUAAAACAUAUUUUAAUACUCGGUCACAAGCGGUGGAUAUAGAAAAUUAAUUUAGAGGGGGUAAUACCAUAACGAAAAAUAAUGAUUCAUAACUAAAAUCAACCCCAACAUCAAAACUUAUUUACAAGAUUACGCCCAGUCAAAGGUAAUUUUUCCUAAAAACUAAUACGAAAUUAAAUAAAUUUAACUUUUAGUGGGUUCAAGUGCCCACGCAUUCUGAACGUAGAUCCACCCCUGGCCCCGACUGAAGCAUUUUUUACAAUAUGUACUCAGUUUAUCAACAGGAACAACCUUCCACUUUAAAUUAAAAUUUUCACUUAAAAAUGAUUAAUGUUAAUGAGGUUAGCAACAAAAAUGAGUUUAAUUAGAGAAUAUUAUAAGAGAAAUUAUAUUUUUUGACUUUUAAUAAAUUAAAAUAUUAUUAGUUGGUGGUGGUUUCACGUCAGAUUAAGACGUGACACUUUACUUAUGAGGUCGAGACAAUCGACUUAAACUAUUUCAAUGCAUUUGAAAUUUGCACUAAUGGCUAUCAUUCUUUGUCCAAAUUAAUACGAUAAUUAAUAACAUACAAUUGAAAUAAUUAAUACUAGCACUUGGCAAUAAAUAAAGCUCUUGUGCUUGAAUCGUCACACAUGAUCACUUCAUUCCUUUAUUUACUUUGCUACCACAAAUUUUGAGGCAUUAUAACUAAAUAAUAAUUGAAUAGGGCUUUGUGUUACUUGUUGUGCGCGCGGAAUGCGGAAUCAAGCACACCAAAUUAUUACAGAAAAAUAAAGGACACAAUUAUUUGACGUGGUUCGGUAAUUAAACUUACAUCCACGGAGGCAAGAAAGAAUAAUUGUUUAUUUAACAAUUAAUAGAGUACAAAUAUUUGAGUAACGAAUCUCACUUCUCAGAAACCUAAAUAUACCCAAUACUCUCACACUCUGCAGGAAAGAUAAAUUAUCCAAACACACUUCUCUCACUUCUCUAAAAAACUUAAAAAUUUAAAAACUUAACAAUUUUGGAAUGCUUUAGAAUAGAAGAAGUGCCAUCUUAUAGGAAAAAUAAUGAUACUAUUGCACCAACCUCUUUACUAUUCCACCUAACAUAAGCAAAUUGUCAAUAGUGUCCAUUUAACUUUUUAUUUUUUUUCUUCAAUUGUUUAGUAGCCCUUUAAAAAUCUGCGUGGUUUCUUGAAAUUUAGAUGCCACAUGCAUGACUUUUCAACACUAAUUACUACGAUAAUUAAUAUUAGCACUUGGCAAUAAAUAAAGCUCUUGUGCUUGAAUCGUCACACACGAUCACUUCAUUCCUUUAUUUGCUUUGCUACCACAGAUUUUGAGGCAUUAAAACUAAAUAAUAAUUGAAUAUGGCUUUGUGCGUCGAUGACGCCAGCAACAAGGGGACCACAAUUAUCACUUUUUAAGUUGCUUUUAAAAUUGAUUUUAAUAGUGAUUUGAUUAUUGUAGUGUUUUUAUUUUUAUAUUAAAAUUAAGUCGAUUUGUUAUAAUAAACUUAGUUGAGUUUAAUGGUAUUACUACAUAAAUUGAAUAGUCAUCAAAUAUUUUAAUGUUUUUAUGGCAAGUGUUGACGUGGCAUUUAUUUGUUGUAUGAUGGAUUUUAAAAUUUAUAAAAUUAUUUGUUAUUAAAUUACCCCCAGAUGCUGCAUCACCUGAAACUUAAUAAAGGGCAUGUAGCAUUGCCAUUACUCAACAUUCACUCUUAUGACUUUAUGACAUUAGAAUUAAAAUCUUUCGUACAUUUAAUUUGUUUGCUUCCAGAUUAAUCUUUAAAAAUAUUUUUUUCACAUUAUCAUGAAUGGACAAAACUCCAACGAAAAUAACUACGCAAGAGCAAUCUAUGCUAGUAUUAUAUGCCACGAUAUCUAUAACUUUGUCAGGUCUCAGGAUCGAUCAUUCUAAUUUUUACGCAGAACUUUUAAUCAAUGGACAAACACCUCACCGAGCUUGUCGGCAGCAUUACUACGAUGUAAAAUUGUACCGGAAUAUCUUGAAGUAUUAGUAGAAUAAUGAAGACUAUUUGGAGCAAUAAAAACAAAUAACGCAGAUAAAAAAAAUGGCUAAAAUUAUGUAAGUGAGCCCCAAAGUUUUUGCUAUUUCCAGGAAAUCCCAAAUUUGAAUGGACUAGAGGGAGGCACGUAAGAAAUACAUUUUCUUCCUAGACAAUGACAGCUAUGACAUCAAGCCACGUAUUGAAAUUAAGGUGUAAUUAUUCAGCCAAUGAGCCUUACACACCAAGAUGUAUAAAAGUCAAGAAAAUGAAAUUUUAUCCCAAUUAAAACACUUUCUGGCUGCAAUUGGCUGUUUCCAUUUGAAGUUAAAAAACAACAACGUUUCUUUCGUUUUGUGGGCGAUUCGAUUGAGCACGCGCCACGAGCUAGCUGGCUUCCAGUGCUUGCGUGUGACAAUAGAAGGCUAGUGAUUUCACUUUCGCUUUUUUUUUUUUUUCUUUUUUUUGGGGAAUCAAGAUAAAAGCCAAGAAAAUGAAAAUUGGGCUGUUUCCAUUUGAAGUUAAAAACAGUGUUUCUUUCGGGGCGUCAAUUUGAUAUUUGAAUGGACAGGCAAGUAAGAAAUACAAUUCCUUCAUAGACAAUGACAACGAGGACAUCAAGGCACAUCAUUAUAGUUUGUAGCCCAUCUACAUUUAAACGAUUAAUAAACAAGCUUAGGUGUGCCACUGCUAUUAUUAAUUAUCCCCUGAUCAUUAUAGUUUCUGAAACAGUAAAACAAAACGAAAUUGAAUACAUCAACGAGAUCGCAAUUAUCACUUGUUUAGUUGCGGUAUUUAACUUAAUUUUAAUCUAAUAUAUUUGUUAGUUAAACUUUUAAUAAUCAAAUAAUUUUGACUUAAAAAUAAAAUUAUAGAAAUUAUUAAUUAUUAAAAAUUCACACAUAGCUAUUGUUUUCUCUAUAUAUUGCAGUGUGUACGAUAUUGAGGGUUGAAGCCCAAAGCAUGCCCUAAAAUCCAGAUAAUAAUUAGAUCCGGGCCAAAUAUUCAUCAUUGUGUCGGCUGAUCAGUCGGUGGACAUCUCUAUUGAAAAAAUCUCUGACAUUUCUCUCGACAAACUUAUUACUAAAAAAAAAUCAGUGGUUUUGCCGUCUGAAUAAUGUAGAAAAAUUUGUCUGUGCAUUAAUCUAGAUGUUUGAGGUGAUUUAUACAUCUGUGAUAAAGAUUUAUAGGUUGACUUAUACGUCUGUGGUAUAGAUUUUAUGUAUUUCAUUACAAAAUGCUGGCCGUUAGAACCCUUUCUACAUCUAUUUAUAAGAUUAACGGGUGCCAGUUAUGCCAUUACAAAUUAUCCCCUCAUCAGAUAUUUCGUUAAAAUUCAUUCUGAAACACUAAAACUAAAUAAUCGAACAUGGCUUUGCGGGUCGAUGAUGCCAGAAGCAAUUCGACUGCAAUUAUCACUUGUUUAGUUUCUGUGCUUGCCGUGGUUUACUUGGCAUGGAAUGUGAAAAAAUCAAGGAAAGCAAAUGCUAAACUGCCACCAGGACCUCCCGGCUUGCCUGUAGUCGGAUACCUCCCAUUUCUCGGAACUACUGACUUGCACAAGAAAUUCACGGAAUUAUCCGGAGUUUACGGUCCGAUCUUCAAGCUCUGGCUCGGAAAUAAAUUAUGUGUAGUGGUGAGCUCACCUUCCCUAAUUAGACAAGUGGUUCGUGAUCAAGAUACAACAUUCGCGAACCGUGACCCACCGAAGGCUGCACUAGUGGUCUCCUAUGGUGGCAAUGAUAUUGCAUGGUCCAAUUACGGUCCCGAAUGGAGAAAGUUGCGCAAAUUUUUUGUGGGCAAGAUGAUGAGUAACGCAAGCCUUGAUGCUUGUUAUGCUCUAAGAAAACAAGAGGUUAAAAAUACUAUCAGGGAUUUGUAUAACAACGACAACAAAAUUGGCAAGCCCAUUGACAUUGGUGAAUUGUCGUUUUCAACAUUGGUAUGUGCUAUACAGAACAUGCUGUGGGGUGAAGCGCUUGAAAUAAGAGAGAAAGGGACCACUAAUCUUGGGGCUGGGCUAAAAUUUAAGCUGGCAGAACUCAUGGUGCUUGCGGGAACACCGAAUAUUUCGGAUGUCUUUCCAAUGCUUUCAUGGCUUGACAUACAAGGUAUAGAGAGGAGAGCAAAGAAGAUUUCACUCUGGCUUGAAAAUGUUAUAAAUUCUACUGUUGAACAGCAUAGAAACAAGGAGUCAACUGUUGAAGGUGAAGAAAGAGCGGGGAAAAAUUUUGAAGGAUCAAGGAACAAGAACUUCUUGCAGUUACUAUUGGAGCUUCAAGAAAAUGAUGACAGUGCUUCCUCAAUUAGCAUGAACCAAUUCAAGGCCGUACUCAUGGUAUGUUAAGUAACUAGCAACGAACAGUUAUACAAGCACAGUUGUAUAUUUGCAUGAGUGAUAUUUUCAACCUUUUUUUUUAAUUAGAAUUUUAUUGUCACCUUUUGGACAGGAUAUAAUUACGGCUGGAACCGACACCACAGCUACGAUGGUGGAAUGGACAAUGGCAGAGUUGAUGCAGCAUCCACAAGUAAUGAAGAACGUUCAGGAAGAAUUAGCUCAAGUUGUGGGCAUGGACAGUUGUGUUGAAGAAUUUCACCUGUCUAGAUUAAAGUAUUUAGAUGCUGUGGUGAAGGAAACAUUUCGUCUGCAUCCUGCAGUGCCUUUAUUAGUACCACGCAGAGCAAGCGAGAGUGGCAGCAUUGGUGGCUAUACCAUUCCCAAAGAUACAACUCUUAUGUUGAAUGUUUGGGCUAUCCACAGGGACCCUCACCUUUGGGAUAAUCCCUUAGAAUUUCGACCCGAGAGGUUUCUGAAUGUUGGUGUCGAGAGUAAGUUCGAUUACUCAGGUAACAAUUUUCAGUACUUGCCAUUUGGUUCUGGUAGAAGAAUGUGUGCUGGGAUUCCUCUAGCUGAGAGGAUGCUGAUGUUUGUUUUGGCUUCGUUAUUGCACUCAUUUGAGUGGGAAUUGCCAGCUGGCACAAAGCUAAACUUAUCUGAAAAAUUUGGGAUUGUCAUUAAGAAAAAAGAGCCUUUGGUUGCUAUUCCAACACCAAGACUAUCCAAUUCAGAGCUCUACCAUUAAGACAAAAUGGUUGUGAUGAUUUUGUUAAUUUUCCGAAGAUUUGUAUGUUAUUUAGUUCAAUCGUAAUAAAAUAUUUCAAAUAAGAGUCCUCCGUUGCUUUUUUUUUUUUUUUUUUUUCAACGGCAUAAUCUGUCGUCAUGCUUGUAUUUGGAGCUACUUUGGAAUAAUUAUGUUUGAAUUACAAUUUAUAAAUAUUUACGUUUUAAAUUUUUUAUAAGAGUCUAAAUUUAUACACGUUUAAUAUCCCGCUUCAUAGAUAUUUAACACAAUUUAUAUCAUACAUUGUAUACCCAUUUGUCAUAAAUUAUACUAUUUUGUAUCUCUAAAUAAUAUUACGUAUUGAUAUUAUAAUAUAUAUAUAUAUGUUUAUCAAAAGACUAUACCAUUCAAUAUAUAUUGAAAAGAGAACAAAGAAGAUUUUCUUAUGGUUUAAAAAUAUUAUGAAUUCUGCUGUUGAACAGUAUGGAAACAAGGUCUCUGUUGUUAAAGGUGAAGAAGCAACAGGGAACAAUAUUGAAGGAAGAAAUUUCACAUGUUUAGUUGCUGAAUUUGCCGCUGUAUUCUAUCGGUAGUAGAGUUUUUAUUUUUCUCUAUUAAUUUAAGUCAAUUUUCUAUAACAAAUUCGGUUGAGUUUAAUUGUGUUAUAAUAUAAAUUGAAUGAUAAUAGAAUUUUCAACAAAUAUUUCAAUAUUUCUAUCUCGAUUGUUGAAGUGCCAUUUAUUUGUUAUGCGAUCGAUUUUAAAAUUUAUAAAAUUAUUUGUUACUAAAUUGCAUCAUAUGCUAAAAUCACCUGAAACCUAAUUCCAUAACUAACCCUUUAUUUUUAGUUCUCAAGAAAUCUUGUAAGAACAAAAAUCUUUUAUAACAAAACUUUUACAACACAUUAAUUUGUAACUCAUUCCUGUGCGCGAAUCACUCUCAAUUUCCUUCAAUUGCUGUUUAACAAUCAUCUACUUAUCAAAAUUCAAGCAUAAUCUUUUUUUUUUAAUUUCUUCAUCAUUCUUUAAAAAAAAAAUCAGGAUAUGCUGUUAAAUUUUGAAAUAAAUAAAUUAACCAAAGUUGGUUGAUGUGAGUGGUUCAAUGAUGAGCAUAAUUUAUAUACAUAUUUUACCUUUAAUUAUAUAAUUAUUAGUUAUUUUUAUUAGUUAUUUUUAAUUAAUUGAAUUAUUUUAUUGCAUAGAGAAUUAAUUGGAGAUUGGGAAACAAAAAGUGCAUAAAGAAUAACAAGUUUGGGAAAGCAUCAAUCAAAGCCGUGACGCAAUUAAGAGUUUAUAGCAUAUGAAGCCAAGAGUAAUUUGCACUCAAAAAGAAUUUCAAUUAUUCAAGUGACCUGGACCUGCAUGGCAUUGUAAUGCAUGGAAAGCAACUUAAAGGGGCCCACACUUGGCUUUUACAAUUGGAAAAAGGAAUCCUAGUGCAAGCUUAAUUGAUGAGCACGUGAGUGAGAGCAAAGAAAAUUAAAAGGCCAAGCCUUUUGGCUUAAGGAAAUAACAAGGUCGGUGGGGCCCAUUUUAAAGAGUAAUAUAAAAGCAAGCUUUUGGCUUUUGGAGAGAGGAGCCGCGAGAGGAGGAAAACGCAAGACAAAGAGAAGAAAAUCUGCAGCAGUUCGGCUUCUAUGGUUGGUUUUAUCUCUUUUGUUACUCUUAAUUCAAAUAUGUCUAGUUAAUUUUCUUAUAUUAAAGUUAAGGAUGAAACCCUAUUCAAUGAAAUAAUUAUCUUUUUAUUUAUUUAAUUCCCAUAUAUGUUCUUUAAUGAUUAUGAUUUUUAUUUCACAUGAUUAAUUGGAUGUUAUUAAAAUUUUUUCAUCAAUUCUGUCAUGCAUUAUUGAUUGUUAGGAUUAAUAUUCAAUUAAAUCUAUACUUAGAUUUAUAACGUUUAUACAUGAUUAUCUUUGAUUCUAUGUCUUUCAUUAAAUUGUUUACAUGGAGUGCUUAGGAAAACUUUGACUCUUUGUUAUUCAAUAUGUUCACAUGGGAUACUUAGAUGUCAUACUAUUAAGCGGAAAAAGAACCUAUAUUAGAUUUAAUUAUUUGGGCUUAAUUGUUAUAUCCAUGAGAUGACACAAAUUGAUUUCGAGUUGUCACUCUAAAAUUAGAGAUUAAUGAAUAUUUAGAUAAUUACUAGUUGAAUAGCGGUGGAUUCUGAAACCUUGGUAAUUUCUAUCUUAUUGAAUUCUCCUUUACUUUAAUUGUUUUCUUAGUUUAAUUAAUUUAAUUUCUUUUAAAACUCAAUUUGCUUAACUAGGUUAGAAUUAAUAUUAAUUUUAGAUUUAAAUUAGACUUUUCAAUUUAUAACAAUCCAUGUGGGAUCGACCUCGUUACCACUACUUUAUUUCUAGAUUCGUGCACUUGCGAGUAUAUUAAAAUUUUCACAACAAGUUUUUGGCGCCGUUGCCGGGGAUUGUGCCAGAAAGUCAGUUUAAUCUAGGUUGAUUUGAUUCUUCCACUAGUUAUAAUUUAUGUUGUCUUUUAUUUUAUUAUUAUUUUUAAUUAACAAAAACACACAAAAAAACUUUUAUUUUUCUUUAAAUUCAUUGUUUGGUUGUUUGAUUUCUUUUAUUUUUUAAAUUUUGUUUAUUCUCAUUAUUGUUGGUUUAUUUUAUUUUAUUUUUUUCUUUCCUUGUCUAGUUAGUUUAUGAGUGUUUGGGAAUGUGAUUCAACAAAUCGUUUGGUAAAAGAGAGUCAAAAAUUGAUAGUAGUCAAGUUAGUUCUUCUGAAGUCAUGGAUGACCCAAAUAGAUUAUUGCCAAUACUUCCACCAGUGCAAGCAGAGAAAACCCUUAGAGAAUAUUUUUCACCACUUGCAGCCAACCAACCAUCUUGUAUUGUGUUGCCACAAACUACAGCAACACACUUUGAACUUUUUGAACUUAAGCCCUCAGUCAUCCAACUUUUACCAUCUUUCCAUGGGUUAGAGAGAGAGGAUCCAUAUUUGCACAUUAAGGAAUUUCUUGACAUAUGCUCUACAUUCCGUUUUCAAAAUUUUAAUGAUGAGUUAAUCAGGCUUCGUAUGUUAUCUUUCUCAUUAAAAGACAAAGCAAAAGCUUGGUUGAAUUCGCUUUCUGCUGGGUCUAUAACUACGUGGGAUGAAUUGAAUAAUAAGUUCCUCACCAAGUUUUUCCCUAUGUCUAAAACAAAUGCCCUUAGGAGAGAGAUAAGUGAUUUCUAUUAAAGAGAGGGUGAGCAAUUUUAUGAGUGUUGGGAAAGAUUCAAUGAUUUACUCCUCAAGUGCCCCCACCAUGGUUUUGAGAAAUGGAGACUUAUACAAUGCUUUUAUAACGGUUUAACCAUGUCGAAUCGUCAUAUGGUAGAGUCUAUGAAUGGUGGGAGAUUUUUGAACCUACAUGAAGGGGCUGCAUGGGAUUUCUUUAAUUCACUUUCUGAGAAUUCUCAACAGUGAGAUUUUUCAAGCCAAAGGGAAAAAUCAUCUCAAGUUUCUAGAAAGGGGUUAUAUGAAGUUAAGGAUGAUUUUGAUGUGAAAUCCACUCUAAUUACACUUUCUAGAAAAGUAGAUGCCUUAGCUCUGAACCAAUCAAUGAAUCAUCAUCCUAGUGUAGCUAAUGAGGUUUGUGCUAUUUGUUCUAACUUGUCUCAAACAGCACAAAACUGUCCAUCAUUACCAGUCUAUCCAGAGGCUUAUUCUGAGCAGGUACAUGCCUUACAAUCAUAUGAGAAAACCUCCAAUAAUACAUAUUCACUCACAUAUAAUCCUAAUUGGAGGAAUCACCCUAAUUUUUCUUGGAAACAAAAUCAAUCUUUGUCAAACCAAGGAGGACAACAAUUUAACAUGCCCAAUCAACAAUUUGUCCCUCCUAACCAAGUAUAUCCUCCUGCCCAACAACCUAUAUCUCAAUUUGUUACACCCCAACAAAGAAAACCUUCUUUAGAGGAUACACUUCAAAGUUUCAUUCAGUCAACCUAAUAAGCUUUUCAGUCAAACACUCAAGCUAUUCUAAAGCUUGAACAUCAAUUGGGUCAAUUAGCAACUACUGUAGCGGAGAAAGAAAAAAGAAAAUUCCCCAGUCAAUCAAUUCCUAAUCCUAAAGGAGUGCAUGAAGUUGGAUCGAGUUCAAGCCAUCAGCAUGAAGAAGCAAAAUCAAUUAUGACCUUGAGAAGAGGAAAAUUGUUUGACAACAAAGUGGAGGUUCAAACAAAGAAGACAUCUGAGCCUACUUCUUCAGAUCCAAUUACAUCACAAGAAUCAUCACCAAAUGAUCUUGAAGAGAGUGACCCGCUAGCUUACAUUCCCAAGGCUCAUUUUCCUCAAAGGUUAACAAAGGUAAAGAAAGGGACUUCAACAUGUGAGAUUAUAGAAAUCUUCAAGCAGGUAAGUAUAAACAUCCAUUUACUCGAUGCUAUUAAGCAAGUUCCUUCCUAUGCCAAGUUUUUGAAAGAUUUAUGCACUAAAAAGAGAAAUUUGCAUGUCACUAAAAAGGCGUUUUUAACUGAACAAACUAGCAAUUUACUUCAAUGUAAAAUGCCACCAAAAUUUAAGGAUCCUGGUUCUCCUACUAUUUCAUGUGUUAUAGGGAACCAAUGUUUUGAUAAAGCAUUAUUGGAUUUAGGUGCUAGUGUUAAUCUCUUACCUUAUUCCAUUUACAUGCAGCUUGGACUAGGUGAGUUAAAAUCAACUCCUAUUAUUUUGCAACUUGCUGAUAGGUCAAUGAAAAUACCUCGUGGUAUUAUAGAGGAUGUGUUGAUACAGAUUGACAAAUUUUAUUAUCCUGUUGAUUUUAUUGUUAUUGAUACUCAACAUGUACAUGAUCUUAAGAAACACACUCCACUUAUUCUUGGUCGUCCUUUCUUAGCUACAGCUGAUGCUCAUAUUAGUUGCAGGACUUGAAACAUGCAAUUGUCUUUUGGUAACAUGACCAUGGAAUUAAAUAUUUUUAAUGUUCCCAAGCAGGCACAAGAAGAUGAUGAAGUCGUUGAAGUAGAUAUGAUAGAAGCAUCAAUUGAUGACUCACUUAUUUCUAACCAUUGUGACAAUCCAUUAAUACCUUGCACAACUGACUCUGAUUUCUCUAUUGAUGUUGAUAGUGAUAUUGAAGAAGUUAAUGCUUUACUUGAUUCGACUCUUAUCAUAGAUCUAAUUAAGUGGAAAGAAAAGAUAAGAUUGAGCCACUUCCUCCUGAAGAGAAAAGUGCAACAUAGGUCACAUUCUGACAUAAAAAAGGUGGUAAGAUCUAAAACGCUUAAAUUAUUAGAUUUUUAUACUACUUUAGAUAACUCUCAGGAAAGCUUAGAACAGAAGAGAUCAAAGCAAUGCGAUAUUGAGGAGUUUCAUUACCAUCAUCCUUUUAUGGAUAAAAUGCUCCAGUGCUUAAUCAAUUAUGCUUUUUGGUAUUUUCUAUAUAAUUGCUUUAAUUUUCACCAAAUUCUUAUUGAUCCUGGUUGAUUUGUUGUUUACAUUAAUUAGUUAGUUAGUCGGAUUUUUUUAUUAUUAUUUAUAUUUCUUCUAACGUUUUCUUUUGAGUUGUCAUUCUUUUAAGUUUUCCUAGCUCAGUCAGGUGUGUUCUCUCCAACUUUCUCUUUUAUUAUUUAUGUUUUUAUUUUUCAUCUUUUUGCGUGCAUAUCUUUUAUUUAUGACACAUUGAGGACAAUGUUCCGAAUAAGUUUGGGGGUGGGAAUAAUGUUGCUUUGUUUGUUAAAAAAAACUAAAAAAAAAUUUCAAAAAUUCAAAAAAAAAUUGUGUUUUUUUUGUUUUUACGUGAAAAGCCAAUGAUAAAAACUUGAUUGACAAUGAAUAUGGUUUUUAGAAAGGGUUUAAUAUUGUCUUAAUUUAUACUUGAUUCUUAUGUUAGUUCCUCUUGAUUGAGAUUCUUUAAAAUAUAAGCACUAAUAUCAAUUCUUUCAUAAUUUUGACUUGAAAUUUGAGAUUGACGCAGCCUGAGUUGAGAAUUUUAGAUAGAGUAAAUGACUGUUUGUCUUUAUUCUUAUCUCCACAAUACAAAAUAGUAUACACAGGCACCAAAGUCAGAAAUAACUACCUAUAAUCCUUAAGAGUGAAGCUAUCCUUGAGUAAUUUAGGCCUAUGUACCACAAGUAUGUAGAGGAUAAUCUACCAUGAGAAGAAUGCUACCUUAAGGGGUAGAGUGAAAGCUCCUGACUAUGGUUAAAAAAAAAAGAAGAAGAAAAAGAGAAAGAAAAAAUCAAAUCAAGUGCAUGUGCUGAAAAAAAAAUCAAAAGAAAAUGCACAUAAAAGCCUGUGAAAAAAAAAUUGGAGAUUAAGAUGAUAAGAUUAGCUUGACCUACUCUUUUCUUUUUUUGAGGCGAAGGUUGUUGAUAUUGAAGAUUUUAGGAAUGAAUUUGAUUGAAUUGAUUUCACACACACACAACAAGAAUCGAAAGAGAGAUGGGAUUGAUUAUUGAAUUAAAGUUAGAACUUUGCCAAUAUUUGAAAUUUUGUUUGAGCUAUAUAAUUUAUGCAAUCUUUGAGGGUAUUUUCAUAUUUUAUUUAAAGUUUUUUUUUCUUUUUAUUUUAUUUUAUUUAUUUUUUAUUUUUUUAAAAUGAUGUUUGUGGGUGUCAUCACUGAAGCUCUCACGAGACUAUAACUCGUCCACUAGGGGUUUAAAGGCUUGUUGCAUACGCUAAAUGCAAUCGCGAUUACCUGCGAAAAUGGUUUAGUUAGGAUUUACUUUUUGUUUUGUUAUUUUUUUUUUUUUUUUUAGUUUUAGCUUUGCUCGAGGACUAGCAAAAUCUAAGUUUGGGGGUAUUUGAUGAGCAUAAUUUAUAUACAUAUUUUACCUUUAAUUAUAUAAUUAUUAGUUAUCUUUAUUAGUUAUUUUUAAUUAAUUGAAUUAUUUUAUUGCAUAGGGAAUUAAUUGGAGAUUGGGAAACAAAAAGUGCAUAAAGAAUAACAAGUUUGGGAAAGCAUCAAUCAAAGCCAUGACACAAUUAAGAGUUUAUAGCAUAUGAAGGCAAGAGUAAUUUGCACUAAAAAAGAAUUUCAAUUAUUCAAGUGAUCUGGACGUGCAUAGUAUUGUAAUGCAUGGAAAGCAACUUAAAGGGGCCCACACUUGGCUUUUACAAUUGGAAAAAGGAAUCCUAGUGCAAGCUUAAUUGGUGAGCACGUGAGUGAGAGCAAAGAAAAUUAAAAGGCCAAGCCUUUUGGCUUAAGGAAAUAACAAGGUCGGUGGGGCCCAUUUUAAAGAGUAAUAUAAAAGCAAGCUUUUGGCUUUUGGAGAGAGAAGCCGCCAGAGGAGGAAAACGCGAGACAAAGAGAAGAAAAUAUGCCGCAGUUCGACUUCUAUGGUUGGUUUUAUCUCUUUUGUUACUCUUAAUUCAAGUAUGUCUAGCUAAUUUUCUUAUAUUGAAGUUAAGGAUGAAAUCAUAUUCAAUGAAAUAAUUAUCUUUUUAUUUAUUUAAUUCCCAUAUAUGUUCUUUAAUGAUUAUGAUUUUUAUUUCACAUGAUUAAUUGGAUGUUAUUAAAAUCUUUUCAUCAAUUCUGUCAUAUAUUAUUGAUUGUUAUGAUUAAUAUUAAAUUAAAUCUAUACUUGGAUUUAUAAAGUUUAUACAUGAUUAUCUUUGAUUCUAUGUCUUUCAUUAAAUUGUUUACAUGGAGUGCCUAGGAAAACUUUGACUCUUUGUUAUUCAAUAUGUUCACAUGGGAUACUUAGAUGUCGUACUAUUAAGCGGAAAAAGAACCUAUAUUAGAUUUAAUUAUUUGGGCUUAAUUGUUAUAUCCAUGAGAUGACAUAGAUUGAUUUCGAGUUGUCACUCUAAAAUUGGGGAUUAAUGAAUAUUUAGAUAAUUACUAGUUGAAUAGUGGUGGAUUCUGAAACCUUGGUAAUUUCUAUCUUAUUGAAUUCUCCUUUACUUUAAUUGUUUUCUUAGUUUAAUUAGUUUAAUUUCUCUUAAAACUCAAUUCGCUCAACUAGGUUAGAAUUAAUAUUAAUUUUAGAUUUAAAUUAGACUUUUCAAUUUAUAACAAUCCCUGUGGGAUCGACCUCGUUACCACUACUCUAUUUCUAGAUUCGUGCGCUUGCGAGUAUAUUAAAAUUUUCACAACAUUCGGCACUCUCACUCCUUAAGAGAGGUCAGGGGUUCAAGCCUCGCUCUCGUAUGGAGUCACCACUUUGACCAGCACUUUACCCCUUACAGACCGACCCGGUGCGAGCAUGAAUUAGUCUGGGUUGUGGUACGGGCUUAAAGGUGCCUCCCACAAUUGAGACCCACUCAGGACCACCUCGUGGUUCGGACAAAAAAAAAAUUGAAAUAAAUUAUCUCAAAAUAAUUACUAACCAGAAAAAACAAAGGGGUUUAACUAGGUUAUGCAUACCUUUGAAAAUUAUAUGUUGAUCGAUAAGCAUGAUGAUCACGAUUGAGGAGUUUAAUUAAAAUUUAUAAGAUUUUAAAAUUAAUCAGGGUUAAAUUCUAAAUUUUAGAAAGAGAGGUUUUGUGAGAAUGCUGAAAGGGUGUUAAUAGUUCCACUCUUUUUUAAAAAAACCAUAGUCAUCAUUUUUCCCGAUUUCUUCUUCCCAUCUCCAUCUUAUUUAGAAAUUUCCCAGAGCCUUUGUUUCCCACCAUUCAUUUUUCUUCUUUCUAAUUUAAGAUUAUAGUAUUAUAAAAAUAAUUACUCACAUUUUAUCAAACACCUCCAUUAUACCAAGGCCUUGUUUUAGUAGUAGGCUUUUAUUAUCUCAAUAAAAUUGAAAAAACAAAGCUCAAUAAUAUUGGAAAAAAAACCUACCCAUAUUUGUAACUUUAAUUUAUUAUUCUCCAUAGACCUACUUUUUAGCUUUGAAUUUUGUUGGAGCCAUAUAUAAACAGAAUAUGUUGAAAUCAGCACAAAAAAAAAACUAAUUAUAUAAUUUUUGUUCCCAAGGACACGACUGUGUGAUUUUUAAGAAGUUUUGUUUGGCUGGCCACUUAGGUUUAAAUCUUGGUGGAGAUUAGGGGUUAAGAAAUAAAUUUGGACUUUGCACACCCCUUUAACUUUUAAAAAGAAUGAAAAAAACUAAUUAAUUAAUCUUUAUUUUAUUUAUUAAAUGUCAUAAUCAUAUGCAUAUUUUAUUUGUUAUCUUUCUAUUUAAAAGAUAGGAGGGCAAAUAAAACUGAAAUAAAUGUUUAUCCCUAUCUCCAUCUUUCAAGUUCCAUAGUUAGGUGACCAGCUAAAGAAAAUUAAUUGAAAGUUACUCCAUCAAAUUAAAAAAAAUUAUUUAUUUAAUUUGUGGAGAUGUAGAAAAUCAAACCCCAUACCUUUUCGCAUGCAAAAGUGUCAACCUGGUCUAGCUAUGUUGCAACAGUAAACAUAUUUUAAUACAUGACUAUCAUCUUUUAUCCUAAAUACUACUAUAACUAUGGGUUCAGUUAUGCUGUAACUGUGGUAUGGUACCACAGUUGUUUUCAACCAUUAAAUUCAACUUAUAUAACUAUGCAACUGUAGAUCUAACGGCUGAAAGCAACUAUGGUACCAUACCACAGUUGCAACAUAGUUUUGCCCCUAUAACUCAUAACAUUCAAUUGAAAUAAUAAAUGUUAACACUUGGCUAUAAAUAAAGGUUUUGUACUUGAAUCUUCAUGCAUGACCUUCAUUCCUUUAUUGACUUUGCUAACACAGAUUUUGAGGCAUUAAAACUAAAUAAUAAUUGACUUUGUGGGCCGAGGAUGCCAGCAACAAGGAGACCACAAUUAUCACUAGUUAAGUUACUCUAAUUGCCGUUGUCUUAUAUUCAUAAAAUAUUAGUAAUAAGAUUAUUGUAGAAUUUUUUUAUAUUAAAAUUAAGUCAAUUUGUUAUAACAAAUUUAGUUGAGUUUAAUCGUGUUACUACAUACAUUGAAUAAUAAUAGAAUUCUCGACAAAUAUUUCAAUAUUUUUAUCCCAAGCGUUGGAGUGGCAUUUAUUUGUUAGACAAUCGAUUUUAGAACUUAUAAAAUUAUUCGUUACUGAAUUGCACCAUAUGCUGCAUGACCUGAAACUUAAUAAACGGAACGUAGCGUUGGCAACAUUCACUGUCAUGACUUUGUGACAUUAGAAUUAAAUUUUUUUGCACAUUUAAUUUGUUUACUUCCAAAUUAAUAUUUAACAAAAUAUUUUUUCACAUUAUCAAUGGACAAAACUCCAACGAAAAUAACUAUACAAUAUAUGCUAGUAUUGUAUGCCAUAUCAUCUGUAAUUUUGUCAGGAUCGAUCAUUUUAAUUUUUAAGCAAAACUUUUUAUCAAUGGACAAACACCUCACACAGCUUGUCAGAGGCAUUAUUAUGAUGGAAAACUGAUAAACAGUGAACUCGAAACUCAAUUACUACAAGUCGUUUAGAGGAUUCAGUCUUGGAUGACUUGUCACUUGUGGAAUUCUUGAAGCCAGAACCGACAUAAUCUCAGUCGUCAUUCUGUCUUAAGUAAUACACAUGGUUUGCAUGUGUGUUGAAGCUGACUCUUUGCUUGGAUCAAGAAACGACGUCUUUGAGUGCCGUUUCUUAAACACACUUUAAAUCAGCUUGUGUCAAGCACGUGAGGUAGAGCUUUUUGAAUAGAUUUGGCGGGAAUGGUAGUUAGUGUAACAACCCAGAAAUAGAGGUUAAAAGGUGAAGGCUUUGUCAUCAUCUACACAUGAUUUGGGAAACAUUGAGAGUAGAGAAAAAGAUAGAGAGAGAAAGGGGUUAACAAGUUCUUGUUCUCUGUAAAUCGAUUUAUAUUCUUGUAAAGUUUGUGAUCUCAAUUAGUGAAAGACUGUUGCUUUGUUUCCAGUGGAUGUAGGCACCACUUCUUGGUGCUGAACCACUUAUACUUGGUGUCAUAUUGUUUCUUUAAUGCUUUGAUUCUUGCGUGUGAUUGUUGCUGGAUAAUCUGUGCUGUUAAUUCUCAAACCAUUGAUACAGAAUUAAUGUCUUGGGGAGAAUUUGGUUAGUCUUAUCAAAGCCGAAUUCACAACAAAUUGGUAUCAGAGCCCUCUUUUCUGUAUCAAGGUUCAAGAAAUGACUAACAAGGUGGAUCUUGAGAAGUUCAAUGGUCAGAAUGAUUUCAAUAUGUGGAGGAUCAAGAUGGAAGCAUUGUUAAUCACACAAGGUCUGGGAGAUGCCAUUGAUCCAGUCAUUAAGAGUGAAAAUGCAGAAGCCUAUUCUUCAAGAACUCCAGAACAGAUGGCUAAGAUUGAAAAAAAGGCAAGAAGCACCAUCAUCCUCAGUCUUGGUGACUUAGUGAUAAGGGAAGUUGCCAAGAAAAAGACUGUUGCUAGGCUCUGGGCAAAACUGGAACAAUUGUAUAUGACAAAGUCCUUAGCAAACAGGCUAUACAUCAAGAAAAAGAUGUUCUCACUGAGGAUGAUUGAAGGAGCAUCACUUGAUGAACACAUAGAUGAGUUUAAUAAAGUUUGUGAUGAACUGGAAACAAUUGAUGAAGGACUGAGUGAUGAGAGCAAGGCUUUGCUGUUAAUCAGUUCUUCACCAAAAUCAUAUGAACAUUUUGUGGAUGCCUUGUUAUAUGGAAGGCAAUCACUCUCCUUGGAAGAGGUUAAAUCUACUCUUGGUACCAAGAAGUUAAAAGAAAAACAAGAUAACUCAGAGAGUGAAUCAAGUGAAGGGCUGAUGGCAAGGGGCAGAUCUGAAAAAAAGGAGUACAAAGGAAAAAAACAAGGGAGAUCAAAGUCAAAGCAGAAACAUUUGAAGUGUUUUCACUGCCACAAAGAAGGGCAUUUCAAGAGGGAUUGCCCUGAGAGAAAAACAAAGCAAAAGGAAUCAAAAGACAAAUCUGGAAAUACAGCAAUAGCCACAGAAGAAACCAGUUUUGAGAUAGCUGAAGUCCUCAUUGCCACAAAAGAAAAAAACUCAAGGUCAGUGGGUACUAGACUCUGGAUGUACUUUUCAUAUGAGUCCAAAUAGAAAUUACUUUACUACAUAUCAGUCCUGUGAUGGGGGUAUGGUGCUGAUGGGAAAUAAUUCAGUUUGUAAAGCAGUUGGGAUUGGGACUGUAAGCCUUAAGAUGUAUGAUGGCAUGGUUAGAGAACUAACUCAGUUUAGGCAUGUUCCUGAGCUUAAAAGGAACCUAAUAUCUAUUGGCAUGCUUGAUCAAACUGGAUGUGUCAAUAAGGCUGAAAAUGGGUCAUUGAAAGUUAUCAGAGGCUCAAUAGUCAUAAUGAAAAGUUCCAAGCAAAAUGGUUUGUAUGUGUUGAAUGGACAUACAACUGUUGGAGAGGCAAGUGUCACUGAGAAGAGUGAAGACAAAGCAAGACUAUGGCACUUGAGGUUGGGGCAUAUGAGUGAAAGGGGAUUGAAGGAGCUUCAAAAGAAUGGGGUGUUUGGAAGUGACAAGCUAAGUUCUUUGGGGUUCUGUGAAGACUGUAUCCUAGGGAAGGCUUCCAAUCUCAAGUUUGAAUCUGCAGUUCAUUCUACCAAAGAGAAGCUUGCAUAUAUACACUCUGAUAUGUGGGGGCCUGCACAGGUAAAUUCUCUUGGUGGCUUUAAGUAUUUCUUAUCCUUAAUAGAUGACUAUUCAAGGAUGGUUUGGGUGUAUGUACUCAAAACCAAAGAUGAAGCUUUGGAAAAGUUUUAGAGGUGGAAAAUUCUGGUAGAAACACAGACAAGUUUGAAAGUAAAAGCUCUAAGAACAGAUAAUGAAUUGGAAUUCUGCAACAAAGAGUUUGGAGACUUUUGUAAAAGACAUGAGAUUAUGAGGCACAAAACAGUCAUACACACACCUCAGCAAAAUGGUUUUGCUGAGAGAAUGAACAGAACCUUAAUGGACAAGGUGAGGUGUAUACUGCUAUACUCAAAGCUGCCUAAGUCACUCUGGGCAGAGGCCUUAAACACAGCAUGUUACUUGGUAAAUAUAAGUCCAUCUACAGCAAUAGAAUGCAAAACACCUAUCGAGCUAUGGUCUGGAAGGGUUGCAGAUUACUUUAAACUGAGAAUCUUUGGAUGUGUUGCUUAUGCAUAUGUCAAACAAGGCAAAUUGGAGCCAAGAGCUUUAAGGUGUAGAUUUCUAGGAUACCCUGAUGGAGUUAAAGGCUAUAGGCUAUGGUGCAUUGAUUUGAAGCCACCAAAAUGCAUUAUCAGCAGGGAUGUAACUUUCAAUGAGUCAGAAAUCUUGAACAAAUCCAAAACCACUUAAUCCAAAGAUCAUAUAUCAGAAACAAGACCUGGGAGUGUUCAGUUUGAGGUGGAGUCCUAUGAACAAGAUAGGACUGAAUCAGAAACUGAAGGAGAUUCAGGAAGGGUUACUGAUGGAUUUGAUGUUGUUCAGGAGUCAGAGCCAGCUGAGAAUGAAGAUAAUUCUUAUCAGUUGGUCAGGGAUAGAAAGAAGAGAGCUGUAAGACCACCUAAGAGGUAUACAAUAGCAGAUUUCAUAGCUUAUACAUUAACAGUUGCACAAGAGGUAAAUGAGGAAGAGCUAAGAACCUAUAAAGAAGCUAUAAACAGCAUGGAUAAGAUGAAAUGGAAGGAGGCUAUGGAUGAGGAAAUUGAAUCACUAAUGAAAAAUGGAACUUGGAAGCUGAUAGUUAGACUAGAAAAAAGGAAGACUGUUAGCUGCAAAUGGAUCUUCAAAGUUAAGGAAGGUAUAUCUGAUGCUGAACCUAGUAGGUUUAAAGCUAGGCUGGUAGCAAGAGGCUUCACACAAAGAGAGGGGAUUGAUUUCCAUGAAAUCUUCUCUCUAGUUGUGAAACAUGCCUCCAUCAGAGUCAUCUUAGCUUUAGUUGCCAUUCAAGACAUGUACCUGGAGCAUAUGGAUGUUAAAACAGCCUUCCUGCAUGGUGAAUUACAAGAAGAAAUUGUAAUGGAACAGCCUGGGGGGUAUGUGGUGUCUAGUAAGGAAAAUCAUGUGUGCUUACUAAAGAAAUAUUUAUAUGGAUUAAAGCAGUCUCCUAGGCAAUGGUACUUGAAGUUUGAUAGUUUUAUGACAAAACAUGCCUACAAGAAAUGCAAUUAUGAUUGUUGCGUGUACUUUAGGGACAUUGGUGAUGGAAAGAUGAUUUAUCUUAUGCUGUAUAUGGAUGACAUGCUUAUAGCAUGUCACAGCAUAGAUGAAAUCAGUCAUUUAAAGAAUCUCUUGAGCAGUGAAUUCGAUAUGAAAGAUCUUGGAGCUGUAAGGAAGAUCUUAGGUAUGGAAAUUAUCAGAGACAGGAGAAGGAAGCUUAUGUUUUUAACCCAACAGAGCUAUGUUAAGAAGGUGUUGCUUAGAUUUGGGAUGCAUGAAUCCAAGUCUGUUCAAACACCUUUGGCAAAUCACUUCAAGCUGUCUGCUGCACAUUGUCCACAAACUGAUGCAGAGCAAGGAAAAAUGGCAAGGAUACCUUACUCCAGUGCAGUUGGGAGCCUCAUGUAUGCCAUGGUUCUCACUAGACAUGAUAUCUCACAUGCUGUGAGUAUAGUGAGUAGAUUCAUGGCAAAUCCAGGUUAUGAGCAUUGGAGGGCAGUCCAGUGGAUAAUGAGGUACCUGAAAGGCACUAUGGAGUUUGGUCUGCUAUAUGGAGGGUUAAAACAGGAAGGGCACAAGCUGGUGGGGUAUGUUGACUCAGACUUCGCUGGAGAUCUUGAUAAAAGGAGGUCUCAGACAUGUUUUAUAUUCACUUUGGGAGGCUGCACUGUGAACUGGAAAGCUACUCUGCAAAGUGUGGUAGCUUUGUCCACAACUGAAGCCGAAUAUACAGCAGCUGCAGAAGCUUUUAAGGAAGUCAUCUGGUUAAAAGGAAUGGUCUCAGAGUUAGGAGCAAAACAAGAAACAGUUGAAGUAUACUGUGAUAGCCAGAGUGCAAUACAUUUGAGUAAAAACCAGACCCAUCAUGAAGGAACAAAACAUAUUGAUGUAAAGCUUCAUUUUGUAAGACUUGAAGUUUCAAAGGGAACUGUGAAGAUGCUCGAGGUUCACACUGAUCAAAAUCCAACCGAUAUGUUGACUAAAGCUGUGCCUUCUGCCAAGCUCAACUUCUGUUUGAGCUUAGCAGGAAUUUGCAGUUUCUGAUCAGCUGCAAAAGAAAGGGAAUAAAGUAUACAGGAGUAGCUAGAGUUCAGAGUUCACACUGAUUAAAAGGUGCAGGCUUUGUCAUCGUCUACACAUGAUUUGGGAAACACAGAGAGUAGAGAAAAAGAUAGAGAGAGAAAGGGGUUAACAAGUUCUUGUUCUCUGUAAAUCGAUUUCUAUUCUUGUAAAGUUUGUGAUCUCAAUUAGUGAAAGAUUGUUGCUUUGUUUCCAGUGGAUGUAGGCACCACUUCUUGGUGCUGAACCACUUAUGCUUGGUGUCAUAUUGUUUCUUUAAUGCUUUGAUUCUUGCGUGUGAUUGUUGCUGGAUAAUCUGUGCUGUUAAUUCUCAAACCAUUGAUACAGAAUUAAUGUCUUGGGGAGAAUUUGGUUAGUCUUAUCAAAGCCGAAUUCACAACAAAAACUGUAAUGGUAUAUCUUGAAUUAUUGGUAGAAUAGUUCUUUGGAGCAAUAAAAACAGAUAAGACAGAUGAGAAAAUUGUCAAUACCCCACCGCAAAAGCAAAAGAAAACAAGGAAAGGAGACAAAAGAGGAAGAAGAAAAAGAAAAAAGAACGAAGAAAAAAAUGGUGCCGUGCGGUAUAGGCAAGAAGAAAAAAUAAUAAAAAAUAAUAAAAUAAUAGUGCACAACAAUCAUUUGAUUGCUAUAAAUAAAAGGCGUUUCCCUCAUUUUAUUCAUCGAAUUCUUCAGUUCCUUUCAAGCGAUUUAAGAGUCUAGUGAUUUGAGAGUUUGGGUGUAGUAUGAUUUUGGGUAGUGAGCUAAAAUACUACAAUACUUGUAACUCAUUUUUAUUAGUAAAAUAUUUUCCUUCUGACUUCGCCCGUGGACGUAUGCUAAAAGCCGAAUCACGUAAUUUCUGGUGUCCCUAUGUGAUUAUGUGUCUCAUUAUUUCUUAAUUUCACUUUAGUUGCGUGUCUGCGACACCCCUCAAUUUAUUAACAAAAAAUGGCCAAAAUUAUAUAAGUGACCCAAAUUUUUUUGUUAUUUCCAAGAAAUCCCCAAUCUGAAUGGGCUAGACCAGAGGGAGGCAAGUUAGAAAUACAUUUCCUUCAUAGACAAUAACAGUGAUGAGUCGAUGACAUCAAGCCACGUCGGUAUCAAUAUUGAAUUAAAGGUGCAAUUAUUCAGCCAAUGAACCUUACACAUCAAGAUAAAAGUCAAGAAAAUGAAAAUUUAUCCCAAUUAAAACACUUUCUGGCUGCAUUUAGUUGUUUCCAUUAGAAGUUAAAAACAACGUUUCUUUCGUUUUGUGGGCAACUCAACUGAGUUAGCUGGCUUCUAGUGCUAGUAUGUGAAAAUAGAAGGCUAAUGAUUUAUUUAUUAUCUUUUGACAAAAUUAUUAAAGAUAUAAUAGAUUUUCUAUGAUACAAGUGAAAAAUCACAUCAACAUAGCUUUCAAUCUACAGCAGCUAGCGUUUACCAAACACUUUGUUGUAGCUUUUAAGCUAUAGCUGCCCAACCUCAAUCUCAAACGCACCCUUAAUAGGUUGAUUGAAUUUGUGAGAUAUGGAUUCCACAUAUCUCAUGACCUAGUAAUUAUACAAGUGGUUCGUGAUCAAGACACAACAUUUGCUUCCGGCCUAGUGACCCAGCAAUCGCUGCACUGGUCGCCACCUAUGGUGCCGACGAUAUUGCAUGGUCCAAUUGUGGCCUUGAAUGGAAAAAGUUGAGCAAAUUAUUUGUGGACACGAUGAUAAGUAACGCAAGCCUUGAUGCUAGUUAUGGUCAAAGAAAACAAGAGGUUAAGAAUACUAUCAGAGAUAUUCAUAACAACAAAAAGGAAAAAAAAAAGGCAUUUGCAAGCCCAUUGAUAUUGGUGAAUUGUCGAUUUCAACUUUGGCAUGUGUAAUCCAGAACCUGCGCGCUGUGGUAUGGCGCUGGCACGCUUGCAUUAACGAGGGGACAAGUCUUGGGGCUGAGCUAACAUUUAAGCUCGCAGAACUCAUGGUGCUAAUGGGAACACCAAAUAUUUUUUUGACAUAUUUUGGUGCUUUCAUGGUUUAAUUCAAGGUAUAGAAAGGAGUGUUGAGAAUGUCAAAUAAAACGGCAUUGAAUGGAAGUUGUCAAAGACACGAUCCGCACCGAACGGCAACGACACGGUUGCUAAAAAUCCUUCCAUAAUAUGCAUAUCUAAUUUUUUAAAAAGUGUAACCUCUGCAUUUAUAAAUAUACUCAAUGUAUAAUGUUUUACUUAAGAAAUGAAAAACUUGUUUGUUCAAGGAGAAUAAAGAAAAUUUUUCUAUGAUUUUUUUAUGGUUUGAACAAAGAAGGUUUUAAUGAGUAUUAUAGACCUCGAUUGAAUGUUCGAAUGUAUAAUAAAAGAGAAACUGUCACAUAAAUGACAAAGAUACUUGGAAAAAAAAAAAGGGCAGCAAUAGAGAAUUAGAUUCGACUGCACAAAUAACUAGUUAAUUCAUCAAUACAUCAUUUUCUUGCUAGAAAAUGACAAUUAUGACAGCAAGCCACGAUAGUGUCAAUAUUGAAAUUGAUUUGCAAUUAUUCAGCCAAUGUGCCUUACACGUCAAGAUAAAAGUCAAGAAAAUGAAAGUUAAUAUCAAUUAAAACACUUCCUGGGCCGCAUUUAGCUCCAGUUUUUGUGGUAGGAAAACAAAGUUUUGUUUUAAAUUCACAUGGUGUGCACUUCCUAUAUAAAUCUAGAGUUGUGUCCCACGUUGAACAAUAAAGGAAAGUCACCUAAAUAUACAUGUAGGAUAAGUUACUUUAUUUAGUAAGUUUGUAUUUUCUUCUUUCUUCUAGUUUACAUAUAAAUUUGAUUAGAUAACUUAACACAUAUUUUAAUACUUGAUCAGAAGCCCUACGUACAGGUGGAUCUAGAAACUUGAUUUCUAAGAGUAAUACUAUAAUAAAAAAAUAAUGAUUCAUAGAACCAAUAUCAAAAUUUGUUUACAAGAUUACCCCCACUCAAAGGUAAUUUUCAUAGAAAUUAAUAGGAAAUUUAAUUGUUAGUGGGGUCAAAUUGCCCCCACACUCUGAAUGUAGAUCCACGCCCGACCCUGAGUCAAGUAUAUUUUGCCACAUAUACUCUGAAUGUCGGCAGGAAAAAUCUUCCACUUUAGUUUAAAAUUUUCACUUAAAAUUUAUUUACGUUAAUAAAGUUGGUAAAGGAAAUGAGUUUAAUUAAAGAAUAUUAUAGGAGAAAUUCUAUUGUUUGGCUUUUAAUAAAUUAAUUAAUAGGUUUAAAAAGAUUAAUAUACAUCAAAAUAUUAUUAGUUGGUGGUGGUUCCACAUCGGACUAAGACGUGGCACCUUACUUGUGAGAUUAAGACAAUCAGGCUUAGACUAUUUAAAUAUGUUUGAAGCUUAGAUGGCACCGCUUCAAUUUGCAUUAAUGAAUGUCAUUCUUUACCCUAAUUACUACGUAAUUGAUAACAUGCAAUUGAAAUAACUAAUAUUAGCACUUGGCUAUAAAUGAACUAAAGGCCGUGCAAUUGAAUCUUUACUUGAUCACUUCAUUCCUUUAUUUUGCUAACACAGAUUUUGAGAUAUUAAAACGAAAUAAUAAUUGAAUCUGGCUUUGUGGGUCGAUGAUGCCAGCAACAACGAGACCACAAUUAUCACUUGUUUAUUUGCUGUAUUUGACGUUGUUUCAUAUUGGUAGUAAUAACUAAUAAGGUCGUUGUAGAGUUUUUAAUCUUUUUUUUUAUAUUAAUCACGAGGUAUCCUGGGGAGGGCCCCAACUGUGGGAGGCACCUUUAAGCUCGUACCACAACCCAGACUAGAAGUCCCCGCUCGAACCGGGAGGCACAGUUUUUAAUCUUUUUUAUAUUAAAGUUAAGUCAAUUUGUUAUAAAUAAAUAAAAAAUUGGUUGAGUUUAAUUAUAUUGCUAUGUACAUUAAAUAAUUAUAAUAUUCUCGAGGGAAAAAGACACCUAGAACCUCAAGGUUUGGGGAAAUGGUCACAAAAACUCCUAAGUUUUAAAAAAGGAACACUAAAAUCUUUUUUUACCCAUAAUACCCUUUGACUAUAGUAAUUAGAAAAUUGACUUUAAAGGUUUUUAAAUAAUACAAAUUUAAUAUAAAUCAUAUAAUCUAUCUAGUACACUAAUAAUAUUAAAUUAUUUUUUAUAUUUAAAAUAAUGUUAAAAAAUUUAAAUUAUUAUAUUUAUUUUAAUAAUAUAUUUAUAAAAUUAUAAAGAUUUUAAAUAAAUCUUUGGAUUGAAUAUAUUUUACAAUUAAAAGUCUUCCUAUUAAUAAUAUUAAAAUUAAAUUUUAAGUAAUAUAUAUUCAAAAUAUUUUUAAUUUAAUUUUAUUUAUUUUAAUAUUAUGUUUCUAUCUAUUAUUAAAAAUUACUUUAAUAUAAUAAAAUAGGUCUAAUAGAUUGAAAAAUAUGAAAAUAUUUUUAAAAUUUUAAAUUAUUUUGAAAUGUAUAUAUUAUUACAUUUAUUUCAAUGUCAUAUUUCCAUUUAUUAUAAAAUUUUGGGGUUAUUUUUUUGGGAAUUUAUAGAGUCAAAGAGCAUUAUGGUUAAAAAAGAGUCUUGGUGUCCCUUAUUGAAAACUUUAGAGUUUUUGUGACCAUUUUCCUAAAUCUUGGGGGUGUUGAAGUGGCACUUAUUGUAAGAUUGAUUUUAAAAUAUGUAAAAUUAAUUUUAUUACAUUACCAUAUGCUACAUCACCUGAAACUUAAUAAAUGGAACGUAGCAUUACUCCACGUUCACCGUUAUGACCUUAUGACAUUAGAAUUAAAAUCUUUCGUACGUUUAAAUUGUUUACUUCCAAAUUAAUCUUUCGUAAAUAUUUUGUACAGAUCUUAUCGGAGUUAGCGUGUUCAUUACAGUGUUUCUUUUCUUUUAUCCUUUCUUUUGAAACGUAUUUCCUGUGGACAAGGAAAGCAAAUAAUACCCUGCCACCAGGACCUCGCGGCUUGCCUGUAAUCGGAUACCUUCCAUUUCUCGGAAUUACUGACUUACACAAGACAUUCACGGAAUUAGCUGGUCUAUAUGGCCCGAUCUUCAAACUCUGGCUUGGCAACAAAUUGUGUGUAGUGGUUAGCUCGCCUUCAACUAGUUCUAUAAGAAUAUCCCUUUUAAGGGAUUCUCUCUCUGCAAAAUUUUUUUAUCUUCUGGUGCAUAAUAAAAACUUAUGCCACUUCAUUAACCACAGAUAUCUUUUGAGGAAACGAUGUUUCGUUUUCUUUUGUUUUUUCCUUCCUAAUCCUCGCAUAUCGUGUGAAGGCUAAUAUAUCCAAGAAUCUAAAUCUCUGUAAAUCUUUUUCUAUCCAAAUCUACAUAAUAAUUUAAUCCAUGCACAAUAUCUAUAAUUAUAUCGGCUGUCGGCUGAUUUCGUGGAGGGGGCGGCAGUUCAAAUUUUUUACGUGCAUGUUGGAUGGACGUCUCUAUUAAAGGAGAGCCACCACUUGCAUGGUAAUUUUUUUAAAUAAAUAUAUACAUUUCAAAAUAUUAUUUCAUUGUUGUAUAGUUAACAUGUCACCUUAGAUGUAUUUUAGAACUUCUCCUAUUAAAGAUAAUCUCAUGCAGUGAUACUUCUCGUGAUCUAAUCAUUAGUAGAAUCUAUAAUUUCGCUACUGUAAUAAAAUCUGUCCCUACCCUAUAUGAAUGUAGAUAUUUGACGCGAUUUGUAAUUGCUUCCGACAGGAAAACAGCAAUAGUUUAAUUGAAAUUUGUGGUAUGGAUUCCACGAAUCUUAUGACAGAAUACUGACCACUCCAACCCUAUCCACAUUUACACGAUUAAAACACAAGCUUAGAUGUGACAAUGCAUUUGUCACUUUUGUUCAAAUUCAUCCUGAAACACUAUACACUAAAUAAUCGAAUAUGGCUUCGUGGGUCGAUGAUGCUAGCAGCAACGAGACUGCAAUUAUCACUUGUUUUGUUGCUGUACUUGUCGUGGUCUAUUUCGCAUGGAAUGUAAACAAAUCAAGUAAAGCAAAUGCUAAAUUGCCACCAGGAUCUCGGGGCUUGCCAGUAGUCGGAUACCUCCCAUUUCUUGGAACUACUGACUUACACAAGACAUUCACGGAGUUAGCUGGAGUUUAUGGUCCGAUCUUCAAGAUUUGGCUUGGGAAUAAAUUGUGUGUAGUGGUGAGCUCGCCUACCCUAGUUAAACAAGUGGUCCGUGAUCAAGAUAUAACAUUCUCAAACCGCGACCCACCGAUCGCUGGAACUGUGACCACCUACGGUGGCAAUGAUAUUGCACUUUCCAAUUAUGGUCCCGAAUGGAAAAAGUUGCGAAAAUUAUUUGUGAGCAAGAUGAUGAGUAAUGCAACCCUUGAUGCUUGUUAUGCUCUAAGAAAACAAGAGGUUAAAAAUACUAUCAGGGAUUUGUACAACAACAAUAAGGAUAAUAUUGGCAGUGGCAAUGGCAAGCCCAUUGACGUUGGUGAAUUGUCGAUUUCAACUUUGGUACGUGUUAUGCAGAACAUGCUGUGGGGUCAAGCAUUGGAAACAAGAGAGAAAGAGAUUACUAAUCUCGGGGCUAAUCUUGCAGAACUCAUGGUGCUACUGGGAACACCAAAUAUUUCGGAUAUUUUUCCAGUGCUUUCAUUGCUUGACAUGCAAGGUAUAGAGAGAAGAGCUAAGAAGAUUUCUCUAUGGUUUGAAAACAUUAUCAAUUCUGGUGUUGAACAGUAUAGAAACAAGUUUUCUGUUGUUAAAGGUGAAGAAGCUGCAGCAGGAAAAAAUAUUGAACGAUCAAGAAAUAAGGACUUCUUGCAGUUACUGUUGGAGCUUCAGGAAAAUGAAGAUAGUGCUUCAUCUAUUAGCAUGAACCAACUAAAGGCCGUGCUCGUGGUAUGUUAAGCAACUAGACACAAAAAGUUGUAAAAGCACAGUGAUAUAUUUGCGCGAGGCCGCGAGUGAUGUUUUGCCUCGAGAACUCUCAAUUUUAUCUUACGGUAAAAAAUGUUUUUCAACUUUUUUUAAUUAGAAUUUUAUUGCAAUUUAUUUAACAGGACAUAAUUGUGGCCGGAACCGACACCACAACUACGAUGGUGGAAUGGACAAUGGCAGAGUUGAUGCAACAUCCACAAGUAAUGAAGAAAGUUCAAGAAGAAUUAGCUCAAGUUGUGGGCAUGGACAGUUGUGUUGAAGAAUAUCACUUGCCUAAAUUAAAUUAUUUAGAUGCUGUGGUGAAAGAAACAUUUCGUUUGCAUCCUGCGUUGCCCUUAUUGGUACCUCGCACGGCAAGCGAGAACAGCAAUAUUGGUGGCUAUACCAUUCCCAACGACACUAAUUUUAUGUUGAAUGUUUGGGCUAUUCACAGGGAUCCUCAACUUUGGGAUAAUCCCUUAGAUUUUCGACCUGAGAGGUUCUUGAAUGAUGAUAUCAUAAGCAAAUUCAAUUACUCGGGUAACAAUUUUCAGUACUUGCCAUUUGGUUCUGGUAGAAGGAUGUGCGCUGGCAUUCCUCUAGCUGAGAGGAUGUUGAUGCUUGUUCUGGCUUCGUUGUUGCACUUGUUUGAGUGGAAAUUGCCCCCGGGCACAAAGCUAGACUUAGCUGAAAAGUAUGGGAUUGUCAUGCGGAAAAAAGAGCCUCUGAUUGCUAUUCCAACACCAAGGCUACCAAAUUCAGAUCUCUACCAGUAAGAUCAAAAUGGUUGUGAUGAUAUUAUUUCCCAUUGUAUUGGAAUAUUUUUGUGUGAUUUGAAGUUCAAUCAUAAUAAAAUAUUUUAAUAAAAUGUCCUCGGUUGCUAAUUUUUCAAUAGUAUACUCUAUCAUCGUUUCUAACUGUCUUUUAGAGCCAUUUGGUCUAAUUUAUUUUUGAAUUAAAAUCCAUAAAUAUUUAAAUUUUUGAAUCAUAUUAAGAAUUAUCUGGAGUGUAUGGUCUGAUCUUCAAGUUCUGGCUUGUAAACAAAUUAGAGUUCUGAUAUUUGCCCCGGGUCAAACCCCGAAAUUAAAUAAAACGGCGUCGUUUUGUUUUUUUUUUUUUUUUUUUCUUUUUUACUUCUUCCAAACGUUGCCAUUUCACUUGUCAUUUGCAAGUGACUCCAUUGAUCCUUAGUUGAAACAGAGUUACACCGUAAAUCUCUUCCUCUUCGUUUCUUCGUUUCACCAGGGAACGAGACAGAUAAAAUCCAGCCAUUCUUCGACAUAACAAGAUAUCGAUUAGAAUCCAACGACAUAACUAUAAACCAUGACAUUGCGCUUGAUUUUGCGAAAUACCGAUUAAGAACCAGUAACUUUGAAUCCAAUGACCGUUAAGAGUUUGAAAUUGGUUUCAAAUGACUAAUGAGUUAUCAGAUUUCUUUGCGUCUACAUUUUCCUUGAAGGUUUCUCAGCAGCCAAACAAAUACAAAGCAAAUUGCAGAAGAAACACAUUUUGUUCCAAUGAAAAAUGUACGGAAACAUUUUAAAUAUGGAAAAUUACCUCAAAAUGAAGGCUCGCAAGAGAUUCGAGCAACAAAUUAGAUCAAAGGAACCGGCGCUGAGCAAGAAAGUGAGCUCAAAGAUUCCGAAACACAAACGUAAAUUCACAAAAAUGCAAAUCUAUGAUGAACGCCAAGAUCAAAAUUUUCGAAGAAAGGGAGCUGAAAAAAUAAAUGAAACGUCAAACUAGAUGACAAUGGAUUUGCUUCUUCAAAGGAGACAAUGAAAUUGUUACUAGAGACAGCUAGAGAAAUAGAGAGAGAGAGAGAGAGAGCUUGAAUUGGCUGUACCCCCACCAGAAAGUGGGUAGUGCCUUUUCCACUUGGACUUGAUAUGCGAAUCUGAAAAAAUCUGAACGAAGGACUGACUCAUCCCAGCUCGAAAGCAAACCAAGCUAGGACUGACUGAAAACGUUGCCGUUUGGAGAAGUUAAAAAAAAAAACUAAACAAAACGACGCCGUUUUGUUUAGUUUCGGGGUUUGACCCGGAAUUUGACCCGGGGCAAACAUCAUUUUCCAACAAAUUAUGCAUGGUCGUGUACACGCUUUCCCUAAUUAAGCAUGAGGUUCGUGAUCAAGGCACAACAUUCACUCCCUGCGACCCAACAAUCGCUACAUUGUUUGCCACCUAUAGUGCCAACGAUUUUGCACGGUCCAAUUAUGGUCCCCAAUCGAAAACGUUGCGCAAAUGUUUUCUGGGCAAGAUGAUAAGUAACGCAAGCCUUGAUGCUUGUUAUGGUCUAAGAAAACAAGAGGUUAAUAUAUAUAUAUAUAUAUAUAUAUAUAUAUAUAUAUAUAUAUAUAAAUUGGCAUUGUCAACUUUUGUAUGUUUUAUUCAGAACCCGCUGUGGGUUGACGCUAGCAUGCUUGCGUUAGGAGACGAGGGGACCAAUCUUGGGGCUGAGCUAAAAUAUAAGCUUGUAGAGAUCAUCUUGCUAAUGGUAAUGUUUUCCGAUGCUGGUUUAAUUCAUGGUAUAAAAAGGAGAACAAAAAAGAUUUUUCUAUGCUUUGAAAAUAUUAUAAUUUUUAUUUUAUAAUUUUUAAUAAAAUCUCUCAUUGAUAGCCAAACAAUUAAAAUUUUUGUAAAGCUUUUGUGGACUUUUGAUCGCGUAUGGUGCCAAUGUAUUGCGUGGUCCUAUUAUGGUUCCAAAUGGAGAAAGUUGCACAAGUUUUUUGAGUACCAGAAGAUCAGUAAUGUAAGCCUUGAUGGUUGUUAUGGUCUAAGAAAACAAGAGGCUAAAAAUUCUAUCUGGGAUUUUUAUAACAACAACAAAAUUGGCAAGCCCAUUGACAUUGGUGAAUUGUCAGUUUCAACCUUGGUAAGUGCGAUUCAGAACAUGCUGUGGGGUGAAACGCUUGAAAUAACAAAGAAAUGGAUUUACUAAUAUUGGGGCUGGGCUAAGAUUUAAGCUUGCAGAACUCACGGUGCUAGAGGGAACACCGAAUAUUUUGGAUAUCUUUCCAGUGCUUUCAUGGUUUAAUAUACAAGGUUUUCAGAGAAUAGCAAAGAAGAUUUCUCUAUGGUUUUAAAAUAUUAUCAAUUCUACUGCUGAACGCUAUAGAAACAACGUCUCUAUUGUCAAAAGUGAAGAAGCAGCAGCAGCAGGGAACAAUAUUGAAGGAAGGAAUAAGGACUUGGUGCAGUUACGCUUGGAGCUUCAAGGUAAAGAAGACAAUGCUUCAUCAAUUAGCAGGACGCAAUUUAAGAGCUUGCUCGUGGUAUGUUGCGCAACUAGCCACAGACAGUUACAGAAACUGAGUUUGGCAGAUUACGACCGUUUCUGGUGAUUACAUAAUUAUUUGUGGCUGUUUUUUUUUUUUAAUUGUAAUUUUCUUAACAGGAUAUAAUUUAGGGUGGAACCAACACCACAACUAUAAUGGUGGAAUGGACAAUGGCAUAAUUGAUACAGCAUCCACAAGUAAUAGAGAAUGUACAGGUAGAACUAAAUCGGGCCGUGGCCAUCGACAGCCAUGUUGAAGAAUUUCACCUAGCUAAGUUAAAAUAUUUAGAUGCUGUGGUGAAAGAAACAUUCUGCACUGUAAUAUAAUACAUGAAUCAUAUGUCCUCUAUUGUUUUUUUAUUUUUCUCUUUUUUUCAAUAGCUUAAUCUAUCAUUAAAAUCUUCUGAAAUUCUAAAUUAAUAUACAUUCAACCUAGAGUUCAAGCCAAAGUUUUAUUGAGCAUUAAAAAAAAAAAAAAUUCUACGACUCAAAAUUUUGUGGAGUAUAAAUUAAAAAUUAUGCGCCUACUAAGAGACAAAAAAUAAAUGAUACACAUUAACCAAUCAAAGGCGAACAAGAGAUUAUUAACAAUAACCUAAUAAUAAAAUUAUAAUGAAUAAAAAAGAAAUGGUACCUAGAAACACAUCACAGCCAUUUAAGCAAUCACUUACCCACAAAAUCCAAACAUAUAAACUAUGUGGGGGGGGGGGGGGGGGGGGGGGGUGUCAUGAUACCUUUGGGUUUCAUGAUAAUCAAAAUUGCAAUACCAUUAAAGACUCAAAAAUAAAAAAAAUCAUAGCCAAUAAAAGAGAAAAAAUAACCCACAAAAAAUCAUCAAGAAAAUAAAUUUGAGACUAAGAGAAGAUAUUAAUUAAACCCUGGGUUGCCUUGGAACCACGGCUUUGGCUUCCAUUUUUCAAUUCUUGGCGACAAGUCAUUUCUUGUUUGUUUACAAAGAUGACGGCUGAUUAAUGAAGCUCUAUUAACAAUGAAUAAAUAAAAAAACUGGCGCCUUGAAAAGACUAACGGUCAUAUUUUUCAACUCCGAAUUAGUGCCGUUUGAUGAGUCCUUGCCAAAACAAUCACUAGGCAAAUAACAAUCAUUUUUCAACCAGCAAAACUCAUUCAUUGUAUUUCACCUUAGUCAAGAUUUAAAAAUUGUUUCAAAAUAAACCUAGUGGUUAGAACCCAAGCGUCACAAUUGUGAGGUCAUGGGUUUGAGCCCCCACAACGUAUUGUGGGGGUUAAUUUUCUUCUUCAAUUUGAGUGAAAACAGUUCUCUCCCUUUCGAAAUGUGGGUGGAGUGGACGUCCCUCAAAUAUUAGAGAGGGUUCAAAUUUGGAUUGUACUAUAUAAGAUUUAUAAAUUAGUCCCAGUAAUUAUCUGAUUGUAAAUAUCAAUAUACUAAUCUAAUUAAAUAUGAGUUGUAAUAUGAGCGUUAGUCUCAUGUAAUUAAAAAAAAAAUGUUUCAAAAUAGGAUUCUUAAAAGGUUGGGGAAAUGGCCAUCAAUAUCCCCAACUUUCCAAAAAGAGACACCAAGACCCAUUUUGACCAUAAUACCCUUUACUUCUAUUAUCCCCAAAAAAUUGACUCUAAUGUUUUAUAAUAAAUAAAAAUAUAACAUUAAAAUAAAUGUAAUAGUAUAUACAUUUUAAAAUAGUUUCAAUAUCUAAAAACCAUUUUAAUAUUUUAAAUCCUAUUAUAUAUAUAUUAAAGUAAAUUUUAUAAUAAAUAGAAUCAUAAUAUUGAAAUAAAUGCAUUAAAAUUUAAAUUAUUUUUAAUAUUAUGUAAAAUAAUAAUUUUAUCAUUAUAAGUAUAUGAGAAUUUUUUUAAUUGUAGAAUGUAUUUAAUGCAAAUAUUUAUUUAAAAUCUCUACAAUAAAUAAAAAUAUACUAUUAAAACAAAUCUCUACAAUAUAUACAUACAUACAUAUACAUUGGCCUGGUAUUUUAUUUUUCAUUUUUUAAACUUAUUAAAUCCUCUAACUAUCAUUUGAUUAUUUUUUUCAAUGAUGAAGAGGCCAUUGCCGGAUAAAUUAUUAAAAUCAACUAGUUCUACAAGAAUGUCCCUUUUUAAAGGAAGAUGAUUCUCUCUCUCGAAAUUUUUUAUCUUGUGCUACAAACUAAAAACUUAUGCCAUUUCAUUAACCACAGAGAUCUUUGAGGAAAUGAUGCUUCGCCCCCCCCCCCCCCCCCCCCCCCCCCCCCCCCCCCCCGCGGCGCCAAAAAGUGUCCUUCCAUAUUUUGUGAAGGCUAAUACAUCGAUGAAUCUAGAUUUCUUUAAAUUUUUUGUUUUACUCAAUUCGAGAUAAUAAAUAGUUUAUCUUUAUUAAAUCUUUACUUUAACAAUGAUAGAUAUUCAAUCCAUGCAAAUAUCUAUCAUUGUAUGAGCUGAUUGCGUGGAGGGAGCGGUAAUUGAAAUCUAAUUGAAAACAGCAGAAGGCUGUUCUUGACAGAUCUCAAAUAUAUUACGGACACGUUGGGAGACAUCUCUAUCAUAGAUAUCCCCAUGCAGUGAUAUUUGUCGUGAUCUAAUUUUUAGUAAAUCUGUAAGAGAGAUUGUAACAUCUUUCAAGUUUUUUGGUUUGAUAUUCUAGACGAAAACGGUUUGUCGUUUCUUGAGCAAACGGCUAACCGUUUAAGUCCAGAGAGCAUGUUUGUUGUUCUGGAUAAAACGGCUCACCGUUGUUGCGAAAACGGCUAACCGUUUAACUCAAGAGAGCAUGUUUUAUGUUCUAGAGAAAACGGCUCACCGUUAUUGAGAAAACGGCUAACCGUUUAUUUACAGAGAGCAACGUAUUUGAUAUUCUGGAAUAAAAUGGCUCACCAUUUAUUGAGAAAACGGCUAACUGUUUAUUUCCAGAAAGGCGUCAAUUAGAAAAACGGUUAGCAAGAAUGAAAAUUUCAAUUGACAAUCGAUGCAAAUUCAAACCAAAAGAGUGUCUUCGAAAAAGUACCAUUUCUAAUGGUUGUAUUCUUUCAAAUAAACAUCUUCUUCAUUAAAGAAAUACACACAAUUAGAUUGAUAAUCAGAUUUUGACAGGUUUCUUAUAUGUUCUGGAAAUACAAUCUUAUUUGCUAGAGAUUGUAUUCAGGAUUUGUUAUAUCUUGGGGGUAAUUUGCCAUUAAAACUAUAUAGCAAACCAAGAUUGGUGAGGGCAAAUAAAACCUUAAAGGAAAGUAUGCAAACACGUCUCAAAUCCUAUGAAACUUUCUUUGUUCUUUGCCUCCAUAUUCUUAUUAUUCACUAACAAAAUCCCCAUGCAGUGAUAUUUGUCGUGAUCUAAUUAUUAGAAAAAUCUAUGAUUUCGCUACUGUAAUAAAAUUUGUCACUACUCUACAUUAAUCUAAAUGUCUGAUGAGAUUUGUAAUUGCUUCCGACGGGAAAACAGUUAAUAGGUUGAUUGAAUGUAUGUGGUAAAGAUUCCACGUAUCUCACGACAGAAUGCUGACCACUGGAACCCUAUCUACUUUUACGCGAUUAAUUCACGAGCUUAGGCACGACAAUUGCAAUACAAAUUAUCCCUUCAUCAUAUAUUUCGUUAAAAUUCAUUCUGAAGCACUAAAACUAAACAAUCGAAUAUGGCUUUGAGGGUCGAUGAUGCCAGCAGCAAUGAGAGUGCAAUUAUCACUUGUUUAGUUUCUGUGCUUGCCGUGGCUUAUUUAGCAUGGAAUGUGAAAAAAUCAAGGAAAGCAAAUGCUAAACUGCCACCAGGACCUCGCGGCUUGCCUGUAGUCGGAUACCUCCCAUUUCUCGGGACUACUGACUUGCACAAGAAAUUCACGG